AGGGAAUCUUCGGCAAUGGGCGAAAGCCUGACCGAGCAACGCCGCGUGAAUGAAGAAGGCCUUCGGGUUGUAAAAUUCUGUUAUAAGGGAAGAAAGGUGAUAGGAGGAAAUGACUAUCAAUUGACGGUACCUUAUGAGAAAGCCACGGCUAACUACGUGCCAGCAGCCGCGGUAAUACGUAGGUGGCAAGCGUUAUCCGGAAUUAUUGGGCGUAAAGAGCGCGCAGGUGGUUAAUUAAGUCUGAUGUGAAAGCCCACGGCUUAACCGUGGAGGGUCAUUGGAAGCUGGUUGACUUGAGUGCAGAAGAGGGAAGUGGAAUUCCAUGUGUAGCGGUGAAAUGCGUAGAGAUAUGGAGGAACACCAGUGGCGAAGGCGGCUUCCUGGUCUGCAACUGACACUGAGGCGCGAAAGCGUGGGGAGCAAAC
rnacentral:rRNA from 1 species